CAAACGACUCUCGGCAACGGAUAUCUCGGCUCACGCAUCGAUGAAGAACGUAGCAAAAUGCGAUACUUGGUGUGAAUUGCAGAAUCCCGUGAACCAUCGAGUUUUUGAACGCAAGUUGCGCCCGAAGCCAUUCGGCCGAGGGCACGUCUGCCUGGGCGUCACAC
rnacentral:rRNA from 6 species